rnacentral:rRNA from 1 species
CCAAUAGCGUAUAUUAAAGUUGUUGCAGUUAAAAAGCUCGUAGUUGAAUUUCGGGAUCGAAUUGUUGGUCGUGCUUCGGUACGCACUGGCAUUAUCGGUUUCUACCUUCUGAAGAACCGCGAUGUCAUUAAUUUGGUGUCGUGGGGAAUCAGGACUGUUACUUUGAAAAAAUUAGAGUGUUUAAAGCAGGCUUACGCUUGAAUACAUUAGCAUGGAAUAAUGAAAUAGGACGUUUGAUUCUAUUUUGUUGGUUUCUAGGAUCGACGUAAUGAUUAAUAGGGAUAGUUGGGGGCAUUAGUAUUCAAUUGUCAGAGGUGAAAUUCUUGGAUUUAUUGAAGACUAACUACUGCGAAAGCAUUUGCCAAGGAUGUUUUCAUUAAUCAAGAACGAAAGUUAGGGGAUCGAAGACGAUCAGAUACCGUCGUAGUCUUAACCAUAAACUAUGCCGACUAGGGAUCGGAUGAUGUUAAUUUUAUAAUGACUCAUUCGGCGCCUUACG